AUACAGAGGGUGCGAGCGUUAAUCGGAAUUACUGGGCGUAAAGCGCGCGUAGGCGGCUUGGUCAGUCGGAUGUGAAAGCCCCGGGCUUAACCUGGGAAUUGCAUUCGAUACUGCCAGGCUAGAAUGUAGUAGAGGGAAGUGGAAUUCCGGGUGUAGCGGUGAAAUGCGUAGAUAUCCGGAGGAACAUCAGUGGCGAAGGCGACUUCCUGGACUAACAUUGACGCUGAGGUGCGAAAGCUAGGGGAGCGAACGGGAUUAGAAACCCCAGUAGUCC
rnacentral:rRNA from 1 species